AUUGAACGCUGGCGGCAUGCGUUACACAUGCAAGUCGAACGGUAACAGGUUAAGCUGACGAGUGGCGAACGGGUGAGUAAUGCAUCGGAACGUGCCCGAUCGUGGGGGGUAACGCAGCGAAAGCUGCGCUAAUACCGCAUACGAUCUGAGGAUGAAAGCGGGGGACCGUAAGGCCUCGCGCGAUCGGAGCGGCCGAUGUCAGAUUAGGUAGUUGGUGGGGUAAAGGCUCACCAAGCCGACGAUCUGUAGCUGGUCUGAGAGGACGACCAGCCACACUGGGACUGAGACACGGCCCAGACUCCUACGGGAGGCAGCAGUGGGGAAUUUUGGACAAUGGGCGCAAGCCUGAUCCAGCAAUGCCGCGUGCAGGAAGAAGGCCUUCGGGUUGUAAACUGCUUUUGUACGGAGCGAAAAGGCUCUCUCUAAUACAGGGGGCUCAUGACGGUACCGUAAGAAUAAGCACCGGCUAACUACGUGCCAGCCGCCGCCGUAA
rnacentral:rRNA from 1 species